CCUACGGGAGGCAGCAGUGGGGAAUUUUGCGCAAUGACCGAAAGGUUGACGCAGCAACGCCGCGUGUAUGAUGAAGGCUUUCGGGUCGUAAAGUACUUUCAGUGGGGAAGAACUGCAUAAUCAGUAACUGGGUUAUGAUUGACGGUACCCACAGAUGCAGCCCCGGCUAACUCCGUGCCAGCAGCCGCGGUAAUACGGAGGGGGCAAGCGUUGUUCGGAGUCACUGGGCGUAAAGAGCUCGUAGGCGGCAGUGUAAGUCGGGAGUUAAAGGCAACAGCUCAACUGUUGUAAGGCUUCUGAAACUACAUUGCUAGAGUGCCAGAGAGGUAUGCGGAAUUCCCUGUGUAGCGGUGAAAUGCGUAGAUAUAGGGAGGAACACCGGUUGCGAAGGCGGCAUACUGGCUGGUAACUGACGCUGAGGAGCGAAAGCGUGGGUAGCAAACA
rnacentral:rRNA from 1 species